UACGUAGGUGGCUAGCGUUGUCCGGAUUUACUGGGCGUAAAGAGCGCGCAGGCGGUCGUUCAAGUCGGGUGUGAAAGCCCCCGGCUCAACUGGGGAGGGUCACUCGAUACUGAUCGACUCGAAGGCAGGAGAGGGAAGCGGAAUUCCUGGUGUAGCGGUGAAAUGCGUAGAUAUCAGGAGGAACACCUGCGGUGUAGACAGCUUUCUGGACCACUUCUGACGCUGAGACACGAAAGCGUGGGUAGCAAACAGG
rnacentral:rRNA from 1 species